CUAGAGAUACCAUCAUUUUUCUUCAGCUAAAAACGCCAUAGGAGGCCUGGAACAAGCUGGGUUUUCAUGUUUUUGCAUCAUAUCAAGAAAUUGAGGAUAAACGAGGAAAAGAGAAAAUUCCGGAAUAGUUCCAAAAAUCUCUACAACUACUGCAAAUUGUUCCGGAUUAACAAGAGGGUCAGAGGAUCGGACCAUCACGCUCAAGUCACACUAUCUCGAUUUUUUCGAUAGAUUUUGUUAUAAAUACUUUAAAUGGUUUAUAUAGCAUGUAUAGGAGCUUAUAUGACUAUGUUUUGUAUUAACUCGUGAAUAUAUUAGUUAAGUUAAUAUAAAUUGAUAUAUGACACGAAUGGAAAUUAA